GGCUCAUUCUGCUCCUUGGCUUCUGUGGUGUUGGUGCUCUGCUGUUCCUUCAGUUGAUGGCGGUUUUUGAGUUGUCUAAGCUGUUUGGGCAGGUGUGUGUUGCCAUUUAGAGAAGCAGAGGUGUCUGUUUGAGGUGCAUUGCAUUUUCCUGGAAUUCCUGGCUUUAUUGAGGAUAGAACCUUGUUUUCUUCACCAGUUUUGCUGUAUGCUGUAGAAGUUGCGGAUAUCAUCUCUCUUAACAGGACUGAUGUCUCCCCACAGCUGACGGGAGGUACGACAAGGUCACAGGAGAUGCGGCGUAAACCAUCUGGGCCUCUGCAUCUCGAUAUGCAGGGCUGAAUGUCAGGUGCAGCGGGACGAGCUGUGUGCCAAAGGGCAACAGAGGAGACAUGAGCGGAGCGCUGUAAGAAGGUGCAAAGCGGGAUAUUGGCACCAGAGCUGAUUCGGGCAAGGUGGUACCCGAGCCUCAACUUGGCAGCCUGUAAACAGCAGAGGCAGGGUGGGCGAGCAGCCAAGAUGCUGCAAGAGGCUCAGAGGGGCGAAGCCGCAUGCUGAUGAGCGGUCCGAGAAGGUGCCAUGCAGGCAGCCUUUGGAAUUGGAUGAGCAUUUGAGCUUUCUGUCUUUUGGUAUGUUAGGUGCCACAAGGGAUGACGGCCACAGCGUCCAACACUGGAAUUCCUGCAGAGCAGAUGAUGAAGAGGAACCUGGCAACUGCAGGAAUAUCCUGGUUUGCUGAUGUGGCUUUUGCUGAGGAUGGAUUCAGACCCCUGGCCCUCUGACAGCUAAGUUGAGGGACUGGGGACCGCUGCCCUACAGUGUGUAAUUUUGACUUCAGUUGGAAAGAAAUUUUCCAAAACGGAAGUCUUUCUCGUUCAAAGAAGUUGCGUUUUAUUGAACUUCCCAUCAGAGUGGCUCUUCAGAGGUGAUGUACUUGGCAGUAGAAGUCACCAGCAGCAAGACU